UACGUAGGUGGCAAGCGUUAUCCGGAUUUACUGGGUGUAAAGGGCGCGUAGGCGGGAGCGCAAGUCAGAUGUGAAAACUAUGGGCUUAACCCAUAGCCUGCAUUUGAAACUGUGUUUCUUGAGUGCCGGAGAGGUUGACGGAAUUCCGUGUGUAGCGGUGAAAUGCGUAGAUAUACGGAAGAACACCAGUGGCGAAGGCGGUCAACUGGACGGUAACUGACGCUGAGGCGCGAAAGCGUGGGGAGCAAACAGG
rnacentral:rRNA from 1 species